CUACGCCAAUUGCAUCGGGACGCACACGUCACACGCAGGGGUGUGGUGCGAUUCGUGCGAUUCUGGAUGCGUGCGGCAAAU
rnacentral:pre_miRNA from 1 species